GAGGAAUAUUGGUCAAUGGACGAGAGUCUGAACCAGCCAAGUAGCGUGAAGGAUGACUGCCCUAUGGGUUGUAAACUUCUUUUAUACGGGAAUAAAGUGAGGCACGUGUGCCUUUUUGUAUGUACCGUAUGAAUAAGGAUCGGCUAACUCCGUGCCAGCAGCCGCGGUAAUACGGAGGAUCCGAGCGUUAUCCGGAUUUAUUGGGUUUAAAGGGAGCGUAGGCGGACGCUUAAGUCAGUUGUGAAAGUUUGCGGCUCAACCGUAAAAUUGCAGUUGAUACUGGGUGUCUUGAGUACAGUAGAGGCAGGCGGAAUUCGUGGUGUAGCGGUGAAAUGCUUAGAUAUCACGAAGAACUCCGAUUGCGAAGGCAGCUUGCUGGACUGUAACUGACGCUGAUGCUCGAAAGUGUGGGUAUCAAACAGGAUUAGAUACCCUGGUAGUCCCACACAGUAAACGAUGAAUACUCGCUGUUUGCGAUA
rnacentral:rRNA from 1 species